rnacentral:rRNA from 1 species
GGCUCCGGCCGAUCCCUCCCACCCUUUGUGUACCUACCUCUGUUGCUUUGGCGGGCCGCGGUCCUCCGCGGCCGCCCCCCUCCCCGGGGGGUGGCCAGCGCCCGCCAGAGGACCAUCAAACUCCAGUCAGUAAACGAUGCAGUCUGAAAAACAUUUAAUAAACUAAAACUUUCAACAACGGAUCUCUUGGUUCUGGCAUCGAUGAAGAACGCAGCGAAAUGCGAUAAGUAAUGUGAAUUGCAGAAUUCAGUGAAUCAUCGAAUCUUUGAACGCACAUUGCGCCCUUUGGUAUUCCGAAGGGCAUGCCUGUUCGAGCGUCAUUACAACCCUCAAGCUCUGCUUGGUAUUGGGCACCGUCCUUUGCGGGCGCGCCUCAAAGACCUCGGCGGUGGCGUCUUGCCUCAAGCGUAGUAGAACAUACAUCUCGCUUCGGAGCGCAGGGCGUCGCCCGCCGGACGAACCUUCUGAACUUUUCUCAAGGUUGACCUCGGAUCAGGUAGGGAUACCCGCUGAACUUAAGCAUAUCAAUAGGCGGGAGGAA